rnacentral:rRNA from 1 species
ACGCUUUGUGGUUCAACUGAUUUGAAGAGCUUGCUCAGAUAUGACGAUGGACAUUGCAAAGAGUGGCGAACGGGUGAGUAACACGUGGGAAACCUACCUCUUAGCAGGGGAUAACAUUUGGAAACAGAUGCUAAUACCGUAUAACAAUGACAACCGCAUGGUUGUUAUUUAAAAGAUGGUUCUGCUAUCACUAAGAGAUGGUCCCGCGGUGCAUUAGCUAGUUGGUAAGGUAAUGGCUUACCAAGGCGAUGAUGCAUAGCCGAGUUGAGAGACUGAUCGGCCACAAUGGGACUGAGACACGGCCCAUACUCCUACGGGAGGCAGCAGUAGGGAAUCUUCCACAAUGGGCGAAAGCCUGAUGGAGCAACGCCGCGUGUGUGAUGAAGGGUUUCGGCUCGUAAAACACUGUUGUAAGAGAAGAAUGACAUUGAGAGUAACUGUUCAAUGUGUGACGGUAUCUUACCAGAAAGGAACGGCUAAAUACGUGCCAGCAGCCGCGGUAAUACGUAUGUUCCAAGCGUUAUCCGGAUUUAUUGGGCGUAAAGCGAGCGCAGACGGUUAUUUAAGUCUGAAGUGAAAGCCCUCAGCUCAACUGAGGAAUUGCUUUGGAAACUGGAUGACUUGAGUGCAGUAGAGGAAAGUGGAACUCCAUGUGUAGCGGUGAAAUGCGUAGAUAUAUGGAAGAACACCAGUGGCGAAGGCGGCUUUCUGGACUGUAACUGACGUUGAGGCUCGAAAGUGUGGGUAGCAAACAGGAUUAGAUACCCUGGUAGUCCACACCGUAAACGAUGAGUGCUAGGUGUUUGAGGGUUUCCGCCCUUAAGUGCCGCAGCUAACGCAUUAAGCACUCCGCCUGGGGAGUACGACCGCAAGGUUGAAACUCAAAGGAAUUGACGGGGACCCGCACAAGCGGUGGAGCAUGUGGUUUAAUUCGAAGCAACGCGAAGAACCUUACCAGGUCUUGACAUCCCUUGACAACUCCAGAGAUGGAGCGUUCCCUUCGGGGACAAGGUGACAGGUGGUGCAUGGUUGUCGUCAGCUCGUGUCGUGAGAUGUUGGGUUAAGUCCCGCAACGAGCGCAACCCUUAUUACUAGUUGCCAGCAUUCAGUUGGGCACUCUAGUGAGACUGCCGGUGACAAACCGGAGGAAGGUGGGGAUGACGUCAAAUCAUCAUGCCCCUUAUGACCUGGGCUACACACGUGCUACAAUGGCGUAUACAACGAGUUGCCAACCCGCGAGGGUGAGCUAAUCUCUUAAAGUACGUCUCAGUUCGGAUUGUAGGCUGCAACUCGCCUACAUGAAGUCGGAAUCGCUAGUAAUCGCGGAUCAGCACGCCGCGGUGAAUACGUUCCCGGGUCUUGUACACACCGCCCGUCACACCAUGAGAGUUUGUAACACCCAA